rnacentral:rRNA from 1 species
AUUGAACGCUGGCGGCAGGCCUAACACAUGCAAGUCGAACGAGUGGCGGACGGGUGAGUAAUGUCUGGGAAACUGCCUGAUGGAGGGGGAUAACUACUGGAAACGGUAGCUACUACCGCAUACCAUCAGAUGUGCCCAGAGGGGAUUAGCUAGUAGGUGGGGUAACGGCUCACCUAGGCGACGAUGCCUAGCUGGUCUGAGAGGGUGACCAGCCACACUGGAACUGAGACACGGUCCAGACGCCUACGGGAGGCAGCAGUGGGGAAUAUUGCACAAUGGGCGCAAGCCUGAUGCAGCCAUGCCGCGUGUGUGAAGAAGGCCUUCGGGUUGUAAAGUACUUUCAGCGAGGAGGCGUUACUCGCAGAAGAAGCACCGGCUAACUCCGUGCCAGCAGCCGCGGUAAUUC